GUGGCACAUGCCUGCCAACUCAGUACUCUGGGAGGCUGGGGCAGGAAGACUGCCAGUUCAAGCCCAACAUGGCCAAUUUAGUGACUUAGCAAGACCCUGUCUCAAAGGAAAAAUGCUGGGUGUGGUGGCACAUGCCUAUAAUCCCAGCACUAGGGAAGCUGAGGCAUGUACCACCACACACAGGUAGGAAAAUAUUUUUUUUAAAGGGGCUAGAGAUGUGACUGUGAAGGCCUGGAUUUUAUCCCUAGCACUGCAAAAAAUAAACAAACAAAAGGGGAAUGAAAAAGAACUGGGCUAGGGCCGGGGAUUUAGCUCAGUAGUUCUGCCAGCUGCCUUGCAAGAGCAAGGUCCCGAGUUCAAUCCCUGGUACCAAAAAAAGAAACAAAAAAAGAAAGAAAGAAAAAGAACUAGCCUCCAGAUUUUGAGGUGUCUGGUAUUUCCAUCCAUCCCUACUACUGUGUAUCUCAGCAAAUUCAGUUUGUUGGAGUAAUGUUUCCAAUUGAGCUGUCAAUGGCAGAAUGGUGGCCAUCAGCGAAUGUGCCCCCAGACUCUCUGUGAGGCUACGGAUGGUAGGGGUGCAUACCCCUUAGAAACUGCUCUUAAAAGUCAGCAGACUUUGCUCUUCUUGUGAUAAUAGUGAAGGCAUUGAGGGCUAGUCAAACUACUGGAAGAUCUCUUCCUUUGGGCAUAAUCCUAAUAGAUGAACCUGUAAACUGGUCCUUAGUCCCAGACACGCUGGAUUCCAUUAAGUGGGGUGGGAAUGUCUAUGAUACUAUCUUCUCCAGACAGAAGUGGAUGCCAAAAGCUUUGUUCUCUUCUGGACUUCUCUGUUCUUGGAAACAAUACUGUUUCGAUUUCUCCCAUGGGAGCUAGACCCUUAACUGCAAAGAAAGGGACUUCACUUCCUGUCUUGUGCUGCCCAUUGUCUGGGCCUGUGGGAGCAAGCAGAUGCGUCCCUUGCUUAUCUCACCUCCUGCUGUUUCCUGCUUGGAGGAGCAGUCAAGGCAGUGGGAAGAAGCACCCAGGGGCCAGGGAGGUGAGAGAAGGGAGCACCCCUGUAUUCCUCGGCCAUGAGCAAUUACGUGAGGGACAAUUGCCAAAGAUGGUUUCAUGGAUGUUAAAGCCCUGCUUCAGCAGCCUGCAAUCUUCUUACUGGCUCUUGUCUGCACUCCUAGCAAAGGAAUCAUGCACAUCCGUCUUCUUCAUGCUUCACCAAAAUUGCAGAACUCAAGCUCCUGUCCUCUCGAUCCUCCAAGAAGAGCCAGGGUCUCUUCCUUCUGGAAUCUCACAUUGCAAACUGCUGAUCUCCACUCCUAUUCAGGGUGGCUUUGGAGUUCUUGAUUGUCACACAAGCUGGCAGUGUCAUCCCCAGGACGGCUGUGCUGCCAGUUAACCCUGAUUCUCUGUGAUGUAG
ensembl:lncRNA